rnacentral:rRNA from 1 species
AUACGGAGGGUGCAAGCGUUAAUCGGAAUUACUGGGCGUAAAGCGCUCGUAGGCGGCUUGUUAAGUCGGAUGUGAAAGCCCCGGGCUCAACCUGGGAACUGCAUUCGAUACUGGCAAGCUAGAGUAUAGUAGAGGCAAGUGGAAUUCCGGGUGUAGCGGUGAAAUGUGUAGAUAUCCGGAGGAACAUCAGUGGCGAAGGCGACUUGCUGGACUAAUACUGACGCUGAGGAGCGAAAGCGUGGGGAGCAAACGGGAUUAGAAACCCCAGUAGUCC